UCCAGCUCUUUAGGCUCCCUUCCCAAAAAUUUGUACAGCAGCUUCCUGGAGCUGGCUGGAAGGAGUUGAGACUGUUGGAAUUUGGCCUGGGUCUGUAAAUCUUUAGCUAACAGGGGCCUAAUUCAAUACUUUUUUAAAAAAUCAAAAGACAAUGAGUGUACUCUUAAAUCACCCUGAGGUUUGCAAUCUUUUUCACGUCUUACUCUCCCUGCAGAAGAAGACCUCCAUUUUUCUCACCAUCUGCAGCACCUCUCUAGUUUUCAGGAUAGAAGAUGAAGUUGAGAAGCUAUGGAGAGGCGAACAGAGGAAGAGAGGGGAAACAGAAAGAAGGAAGACCUCCCAUAACAUCUGUGAACCUGGCUGGAUGCAGUGGCUCACGCCUGUAAUCCAACACUUUGGGAGGCCAAGGGCAUGGACAAAUGGAUGGUGGCCUGGUGUGGCUUCUCUGCUCUUGGCUGUGUUCCUCCGCACCAAUUAAUCACCAUACCCCAGCGUGACAGGCCCGGCUCUUUGCUGCAGCUCAUCCUCCGGCUGUUCCGGUGAUUACUCUAAAGCCUUCCCCAGAUGCAAGAAUUUCUCAAUGUUUUUUUCUUCCCUAUUGCUCCAUGUGCUGGCUACUGCACCGAAAGGGGCUGUGGUUCCCUCCCACAGAGCUAACUGGUCAGUAAGGAACCCUGAGGACCUAAUUUGAGUUCAGGCCCUGUCACCCACUAGUUUUACCAUCUUGGACAUGUCAGUUGAGAUUUGCCUAAGCUUCCUCAUCUUUGGAGAGAGGAUAAUAGCAAGUACUUGGCCAUCUUCAAGAAAUAAUUGUAAUAAUCUGAUGAGGGAUUUUAAAUUAUUUUUUUAAAAUCCCUUCUCAGAAUUGUGUUUUUAAAUAAAUAAAAUAUAUAGGACUGCCAGCAAAACCAAUUGUAUUAAAACACAAUUAUC
rnacentral:lncRNA from 10 species